rnacentral:sRNA from 1 species
CAAGGUGCAACACUUCCUAUAGUAUGGCACAUGAUUGGGGUAUAUCCUGAUUGAGUUCAGCCCACAUGUCACGGGGAUUGAUAACCCUCUUACUAAAAGUGAUUGUUUCUUUGUCCUUUGUAACAAUGCCACUGACGAAACGUUAAAGCGUGGGUUUCAGUGGUAUUUUAAUUUGUUCACAGAUGUAGUAAAUUAUAGGUACAUAGAUGUAUAAAUAUGCAGUUACAACCCUGCCCUAAU